rnacentral:snRNA from 1 species
GGAUAGGAGGGCCAUCUGGCUGCUACAUCUGUUACCCCAUUGCUCUCCAGGGUCGAUUCUGCUGAUCUGGAUGGCUAGGCAGGUGUCCUCUUCCUCCCUCCUCGCUCCAUGUGCAUCCCUCCCAAGGCUGCAUGCUUGGUCGAUGAGAACAACCAUCCCCAACAGAGGAGGACUGUUCUUCGGUCAAGGGUAUACAGUAGCUGUACUCCCUACCAGAACCUCCAAACAAGCUCGACAAGAAAAAAUAGAUGAUUGAUUGAUGGAUAGAUACAUAGAUGCAACUUUAACAUAAAUUUUACUGGAAUAAAGAAUUUA